UAAAAAGCGUUGAGAAGGAAAAGUAAAUUGGACGAAGUUUGAUAGAGAGCCUCUGUUGGUGGAAAUGAGGUAAAUGGCCCCUUUCGAAAAUGACCUUUGAGCUUCGUACCGAAAGCAUUCGCGAGUAGGCUACGACGAGAUAGGCACUCGUUAUAACAGCAGCAGUAUCUCUUGCAACAAGUAGACGUACUGAAUGAGGCAAAUAGUGUAAGCUAUUUGUAAAUAUAGGUGGUAACACGGGUAAACUCGUCCUAAUC
rnacentral:ncRNA from 1 species